rnacentral:rRNA from 1 species
CCUACGGGCGGCAGCAGUAGGGAAUUUUGCGCAAUGGGCGAAAGCCUGACGCAGCAACGCCGCGUGAUCGAGACGCCCUUCGGGGUGUAAAGAUCUGUCAGUGGGGACGAAACUUGACGGUACCCACAGAGGAAGCACCGGCGAACUCCGUGCCCACAGCCGCGGUAAUACGGGGGGUGCAAGCGUUGUCCGGAAUCAUUGGGCGUAAAGAUUUCGUAGGCGGCCGGUGAAGUCUGGUGUUAAAGGCAGAGGUGAAACUGCUGUACGGCACUGGAUACUUGCGAGCUAGAAUGCGGUAGAGGUGAAGGGAAUUCCUGGUGUAGCGGUGAAAUGCUUAGAUAUCAGGAGGAACAUCGGUGGCGUAAGCGCUUUACUGGGCCGUAAUUGACGCUGAGGAACGAAAGCCAGGGUAGCAAAUGGGAUUAGAUACCCCUGUAGUC